AGAGUUUGAUUAUGGCUCAGAAUCAACGCUGGCGGCGUGCCUAACACAUGCAAGUCGAGCGCGAACGGAGGCUUCGGCCGUCACGAGAGCGGCGAACGGGUGAGUAACACGUGGGUAAUCUGCCUUCGGGUGGGGAAUAACUCAGGGAAACUUGGGCUAAUUCCGCAUAAUGUCCUGCCUCACAAGAGACGGGACCAAAGCUGGGGACCCUUCGGGGCCUGGCGCCUGGAGAGGAGCCUGCGGCCAAUUAGCUUGUUGGUGAGGUAACGGCUCACCAAGGCUACGAUUGGUAGCCGGCCUGAGAGGGCGGACGGCCACACUGGAACUGAGACACGGUCCAGACUCCUACGGGAGGCAGCAGUGAGGAAUUUUCGUCAAUGGGGGCAACCCUGAACCGAGCAACGCCGCGUGGAGGACGAAGACCCUCGGGUUGUAAACUCCUGUCGGACGGGACGAACGCUAUCGAGGCCAAUACCCUCGGUAGUUGACGGUACCGUACGAGGAAGCCCCGGCUAACUUCGUGCCAGCAGCCGCGGUAAUACGGGGGGGGCAAGCGUUGUUCGGAAUUACUGGACGUAAAGGGCGCGUAGGCGGUUCGGCAAGUCCUCUGUGAAAGCCCACGGCUCAACCGUGGAAUUGCGGGGGAAACUGCCGAACUUGAGUCCGGGAGAGGGGAGUGGAAUUCCCAGUGUAGCGGUGAAAUGCGCAGAUAUUGGGAGGAACACCGGAGGCGAAGGCGUCUCCCUGGACCGGUACUGACGCUGAGGCGCGAAAGCKKGGGGAGCGAACAGGAUUAGAUACCCUGGUAGUCCACGCCGUAAACGGUGGGCACUAGGUGUGGGACCCUGUCAACGGGUUCCGUACACGUAGCUAACGCGUUAAGUGCCCCGCCUGGGGAGUACGGCCGCAAGGCUAAAACUCAAAGGGAUUGACGGGUCCCCGCACAAGCAGCGGAGCGUGUGGUUUAAUUCGAUGGUAAGCGAAGAACCUUACCUGGGUUUGACAUGUUUGGUGGUACCGAGCCGAAAGGCAAGGGUCCUUCGGGGAGCCUUACACAGGUGUUGCAUGGCCGUCGUCAGCUCGUGCCGUGAGGUGUUGGGUUAAGUCCCGCAACGAGCGCAACCCUUGUGUUUAGUUGCUAACAUUUAGUUGAGUACUCUAAACAGACUGCCGGCGUAAGCCGGAGGAAGGUGAGGAUGACGUCAAGUCCUCAUGGCCCUUAUGUCCAGGGCUACACACGUGCUACAAUGGCCGGUACAGAGGGAAGCUUAGCCGCAAGGUAAAGCGAAUCCCAAAAAGCCGGUCUAAGUUCGGAUUGCGGUCUGCAACUCGACCGCAUGAAGUUGAAAUCGCUAGCAAUCGCGGAUCAGCAUGUCGCGGUGAAUACGUUCCCGGGCCUUGUACACACCGCCCGUCACACCAUGAAAGUUGGUUAUACCGGAAGUCGUUUCGCUAACCUUCUUCGGGAGGGAGCAAACGCCCAAGGUAAGACCGAUGAUUGGGGUGAAGUCGUAACAAGGUAGC
rnacentral:rRNA from 1 species